UGAAAGGAACUUUCCUAGAGUUAUGCACUG
rnacentral:piRNA from 1 species